rnacentral:rRNA from 1 species
GAUGAACGCUGGCGGCGUGCCUAAUACAUGCAAGUCGAGCGAACGGACGAGAAGCUUGCUUCUCUGAUGUUAGCGGCGGACGGGUGAGUAACACGUGGAUAACCUACCUAUAAGACUGGGAUAACUUCGGGAAACCGGAGCUAAUACCGGAUGAUAUUUUGAACCGCAUGGUUCAAAAGUGAAAGACGGUCUUGCUGUCACUUAUAGAUGGAUCCGCGCUGCAUUAGCUAGUUGGUAAGGUAACGGCUUACCAAGGCAACGAUGCAUAGCCGACCUGAGAGGGUGAUCAGCCACACUGGAACUGAGACACGGUCCAGACUCCUACGGGAGGCAGCAGUGGGGAAUCUUGCACAAUGGGCGAAAGCCUGACGGAGCAACGCCGCGUGAGUGAUGAAGGUCUUCGGAUCGUAAAGCUCUGUUAUUAGGGAAGAACAGAUGUGUAAGUAACUGUGCACAUCUUGACGGUACCUAAUCAGAAAGCCACGGCUAACUACGUG